rnacentral:lncRNA from 10 species
UGUGUCCAUGUGGUGUGCCUGCCUUGCUCCAGAAUAAGCCUCCAUAGGUUCCCAUGGCAGUGGACAUGUUUGGUAAACUUGUAAGCAGCCCCAAUGGAGGGAGGAGGCUGCCCAGGGAGAAAUGAAGGCCUUUCAUAUCCGUUGGCUCUCAGCAGAAGUAAGAGCAGUGCCCUGUAAGGGGGCAGAGAAGACAGGGUGCACAAGACAGAGAGACUGGAAUGGAUUAGGAGGAGGAACACUGCCUGUUCUACAUCAACACCCAAAGCUUAUCUUCUAGACCAUAAAGGACAGCACUGUGGGAUUCCCAGAAUGAUGUUGCAGUUGCUGGGCCCUGCAUUAGUGGGAAGGGAACACAGCCAUCGCCUGCACAUGAGCAAAGGAGAAACAGAUUGGGAUCGCUGGCCUAAGGGUGCUGGUGUGAACUCCCAGUCCUUGCCCUGCAUGGCACCACUGCCUCUCUCUAGGCUGGAGAUCUGAGUCAUCAACACACCUAUCUGAAUAUGAAAUUUAAAAUCCUUUAGAACAGCAGACUGUGAUGCUUCCCAGGGUGAUGCAGAGAAGCAAAGUCUAAAUUAUGACAUGUGUAGGAUGGACUCCCUCAUUUAGAUCUUGAUGAACCAAUUGCUGAGCUAUAUCCAAAAGCAAACCUGUCAGAGCUCUGGGAAUACAAGGCUUGGGAGUGCUUCCCAGGUCCUACAAGUGCUGUUGCUUUUUCUGCUCCACAGACACUGGCCACUUGCAUAUAAAACUUGGUUACACCAUUUGCAAACCUAAUCCUUGAUAAAGAUCCCUGAAAAAAGAUGGAGAACCUGGCCUUGAAGAACUUUGUGGCUAUUUGGACUCACCACAAAAUCCAAAUUUUUCCCGGGAUAGAAAUAUUUGUAUGUUGUGCUUUAUCAAAGGAGGCAUUUUCUUAAAUGAUACCAUGGCUAUUUAAAAAGAAACACACACGUGCACACACUCCACAGGUAGAAAGAUCUUUUCUAAAAGUGCUUUUGGGCCUUGCAUUUAAAAAUGAAAGUCCUAUCUUAAGGCCAGAAUGAUAACGGGAAAGAAAUAUUGCACUUAUUUGUCCCCUUCAAACCUACUGCUGUCCUUGGAUAUGAGCCUUUGCUGGCACUAGGAAUGUGCCCUCAUUGCUCAAUUGUCAGGUGACAAGGAAAAUUGAUCAAGUUACGUUAAGAGGAAAAAAGGCAUUCCAGGCCACCAUAUCCUUAGUCACGUAGGCUACUACCAGGUCACUUCUAUAGAGGGAGAAUGCCGAGCCAAUUUGUCUGCAUCAUUUCUAUGGCAUGAAUCAAAGUUGUAUUUGUGUCCAUCAGAAUAGAGACUUUAUGCUGGAGGAAAAUCACCCAUGAGCCCCAGGGAAGGCAGUGAUUUGACACAAUGAUGUUGAAAGUCAAGAGUGCUCAGCAUGAAAUGCCCCAGCGAUGACAGCAGGAUUAACCAUCAGUGUGAAGACAGAAUGGGUGUGCCUGUUGAUGAAAGGCGCUUGGACACAGAGGCAGCCCUUCCCUGGCUCUUCUGAGGAUGUCUGCUGGAUGGAGAACAGUCAGAACACCUAUGGAUCUGAAGCUUAACCAAAGUGGAGAUUGAGCAGCUGUGGGAAGUCAUAAGUAAAUCACAUUUACAACUCAGCUGGUUGUACAGAUGCAGUUUGGAAAAUUUGGAAGCUGGUUUUAUAUAUUGUAUCAUUCUCUUUUGAGAAAAGUUGGAUAUUUCUGCUUGGAGUGUGUCAAUGGAUUCCAAAGUGAAUUUGAAAAAAAAAAUCUAGAAAUGAUAGGAAGUGGUAUGCUCUUCAUCACCAUCAUCAUUUUCUUAUGAGAGCACUUAAAUGUAUAUAUUUUGAAGAAAUUUCAGUAGAUACACCCACAGUCAUUUCAGGUUGAUGAACCAUGCUCUUGAAGCCUCAGCGCAAUUGCCAGAGCACUAAGAUGGAGAAACAAUAGACGUUUUCUUUGGAAAGAACAAUUAAAGGUGAUUGAUCACAAAUUCUUUGUCUUACACGCAGCUUAUGUUUUCUUAAGCUGUGUCAGCCUGGAGAUUAAAAGAAGGUUCAAUUAAAAACACAGAAGAGUAGCUGUCUGUCUUUGUCCCUAUAGCUUUGCAGAAGGCCUCCUUCUCAGGCUCUCCCCAUCCUUCCCAGAGUCCUGGGUGGGGGCUUGGGGUCUCUCACGGCCUAUCCAUCUUGGUGGCACUGUUAUUGUCUUUUUCCUCCUUUCCUGGCCCCAAGCCAGGCCUCUGGUAGUCACCAUUGCUGCCAAACAUGCUGUGCAAGUUGCCAAAGCCAUUGCAAAGCUUGUAUGAUGUUCUUGAAGGGUGGUGUUCCUUCUGGCUUCUUUUCCUGUGUACAUGCAGACCCAUUUUGCUUAGACUCUAGUGUCCAUGCUCCCAUGGGCUCCAAUCCUCUGCAGGUAGAGAACAUCUCACUGCCAGAUAUGUCUUCUUCUCUUCCACAUGGAUUGCUGAGCACAACAGCCAUAAGGCCUCACUACCUUUACCCAGCCCUAUGCUGUAUAAAUUUGUUUUAAUCCCCCACCCUAGGGUCUGGAAAUCAGGCCACGGGGCCCAAGAAGAAAAUAUUAAUACGAAUGACAGAUACUGUGCUCAAUGCAAAAUAACCUUUCUUCUUUGACACUGAAGCACUUGUCUUCAGAUCUGUGCCCUUGGAUUACCAUCAUAUUCACUUAGCGAUGGGGAUAUAUUCUGAGAAAUUUGUUGUGCAAUUUAGUUGUGUGAACAUCAGGGUGUAUUUACACAAACCAAGAUAUCAAGCCUACCACACUCCUAAGCUAUAUGAUAUGGCCUAUUUCUCCUAGGUGACACACCUGUACAGCAUGCUAUUGUACUAAAAACUGUAAGCAAUUAUAAAAUAAUGGUAUUUGUGUAUCUAAACAUAGAAAAAGUACAGUACAGUAAAAAUACAGAAUCAUAAUCUUAUGGUAUCACCAUUGUAUGCAUGUUCCAUUGUUGACUCAAACCUCCAAAACAUUGUUUAUGUGAUACAUGACUGUAUUUUCCUUGAAGGCCUCCUGGUCUUUUAUGCAAAUAGACACCUGAUAGGUGAUCUCUCCCCUGCCCUGCAGACAUCUCCUGAUUGUUGAAUGCCAGGAUGAACACAACCUAGGUCCUUGAACUGAAAAUCUUAUUACAUACAGAUUAAGAAAUUAAGAACUAGGCCAGGUAUGGUAGCUCACGCCUGUAAUCCCAGCACUUUGGGAGGCCUAGGUGGGUGGAUCAUGAUGUCAAGAGGUAGAGACCAUCCUGGCCAACAUGGUGAAACCCCAUCUCUACUAAGAAAUAAAAUGGCUUAUUUGAAAUCCUAUGUGUGCUUGGUGACAGAGUAGCACCUGGGAGAGCAGACCCUUCCUCUGCCACACUCAGUCUAUCACCAUGGAUGCUUCUGUUCCCUUCAGCUCUGUGCUUUGUGUCACUUAAAAGCUAUGGAGCAUUUCCCCCUUCAUUUGGUCAAUACCAAACAUUCUGAAAGGGAAUACAGUCACCCACAUGGCAAUGUGGGCAUAAUGUAGAGGACACUGCUCGUAAUUUCUCCCAGCCAGAGACAUUAUAGAUUUGUAUAGCUCUGGAAAGGGUAGAAGAACCUUGAUGACAGAGAAUGAAAUAGCGCAAAUGGGUAAAGGUGGGCUGUACAUUGUUUUAGGAGGAAGUGAUUCUUCAGGUUGCAAAGAUUUCAUGUGCUACCUAUCUAUCAAUCAUCUAACAUCUAACUAUCACCAAUCAAUCUAUCAUCAAUCUAUCAUUAACCUGUCACCUAUCUAUCAGUCAUCUAUCAUCAGUCAACCACCAAUCUAUCAACAAAUCACCUAUCAACAAAUCAUCUGUCAUCAAUCAAUCAUCUAUUUAUCAUGAUCUACCUGUCAAUCAUCAUUUAUCACAUGUCCUCAGAAAUGUACAUAUAGAUAUAUAUAUUUCUUUUUCUUAAAUAAACACUUAUUGAGUGCCUACCUUGAG